UACGGGGGGGGCAGGCGUUGUUCGGAAUUACUGGGCGUAAAGGGCUCGUAGGUGGCCAACUAAGUCAGACGUGAAAUCCCUCGGCUUAACCGGGGAACUGCGUCUGAUACUGGAUGGCUUGAGUUCGGGAGAGGGAUGCGGAAUUCCAGGUGUAGCGGUGAAAUGCGUAGAUAUCUGGAGGAACACCGGUGGCGAAGGCGGCAUCCUGGACCGACACUGACACUGAGGAGCGAAAGCCAGGGGAGCAAACGGG
rnacentral:rRNA from 1 species